rnacentral:rRNA from 1 species
ACCGGCGAACGGGUGCGUAACACGUGAGCAACCUGCCUUUGUGUGGGGGAUAGCCGGGCUAACGCCCGGGUAAUACCGCAUACGGUUCUCGAGCGGAGUCGCUUGGGAAAGAAACCUUCGGGGCACAGAGAGGGGCUCGCGGCCUAUCAGCUUGUUGGCGGGGUAAUGGCCCACCAAGGCGACGACGGGUAGCUGGUCUGAGAGGAUGGCCAGCCACAUUGGGACUGAGAGACGGCCCAGACUCCUACGGGAGGCAGCAGUGGGGAAUCUUGCGCAAUGGCCGCAAGGCUGACGCAGCGACGCCGCGUGUGGGAGGACGCCUUUCGGGGUGUAAACCACUGUUGCCCGGGACGAACAGCGCUUUUCGAGGCGCCUGACGGUACCGGGUGAGGAAGCACCGGCUAACUCCGUGCCAGCAGCCGCGGUAAUACGGAGGGUGCGAGCGUUGUCCGGAAUCAUUGGGCGUAAAGGGCGCGUAGGUGGCGGGACCAGCGUGCGGUGAAAGCCUGGGGCUCAACCCCGGGUCGGCCGUGCG